rnacentral:tRNA from 1 species
GGCUGGGUAGCUCAGCCUGGUAGAGCACCGCGCUGAAAACGCGGGUGUCGGCGGUUCGAGUCCGCCCCCAGCCA